UACGUAGGUGGCAAGCGUUGUCCGGAUUUACUGGGCGUAAAGAGCGCGCAGGCGGUCGGAUAAGUCGAAUGUGAAAGCCCCUGGCUCAACCAGGGAGGGUCAUUCGAUACUGUUCGACUCGAAGGCAGGAGAGGGAAGUGGAAUUCCGGGUGUAGUGGUGAAAUGCGUAGAUAUCCGGAGGAACACCAGUGGCGAAGGCGGCCUGCUGGGCAGUUGCUGACACUGAGGCGCGACAGCGUGGGGAGCGAACAGG
rnacentral:rRNA from 1 species